UGGGGAAUAUUGGACAAUGGGCGCAAGCCUGAUCCAGCCAUGCCGCGUGAGUGAUGAAGGCCCUAGGGUUGUAAAGCUCUUUCACCGGUGAAGAUAAUGACGGUAACCGGAGAAGAAGCCCCGGCUAACUUCGUGCCAGCAGCCGCGGUAAUACGAAGGGGGCUAGCGUUGUUCGGAUUUACUGGGCGUAAAGCGCACGUAGGCGGACUAUUAAGUCAGGGGUGAAAUCCCGGGGCUCAACCCCGGAACUGCCUUUGAUACUGGUAGUCUUUAGUUCGAGAGAGGUGAGUGGAAUUCCGAGUGUAUAGGUGAAAUUCGUAGAUAUUCGGAGGAACACCAGUGGCGAAGGCGGCUCACUGGCUCGAUACUGACGCUGAGGUGCGAAAGCGUGGGGAGCAAACAGG
rnacentral:rRNA from 1 species